rfam:Myotis brandtii contig298501, whole genome shotgun sequence.
GGCAGUUCUCGGGUGAUGCACCCCAGAAUCGGGCUCCCUCCUCUCUGGUUCCAGGUGUGUCACCUGAGAACCAGA